CCCCUCUCAGGUUUGCACCUGGAGGAUUUCCAGUACUCUACCAGUCACGACUACAGGAGGGAGAAUCAAGCAGAGGCAUAUCCAUUCCAUUCCUAGCUUGAGCAGUGGCUAGCGAGUGGAAGGCAUUCUGCUACAAGU